AGUGGAUCCUGAGUACGACGGAGCACGUGAAAUUCCGUCGGAAUCUGGGAGGACCAUCUCCUAAGGCUAAAUACUCUCUAGUGACCGAUAGUGAACCAGUACCGUGAGGGAAAGGUGAAAAGCACCCCGGAAGGGGAGUGAAAUAGAACCUGAAACCGUGUGCUUACAAGUAGUCAGAGCCCGUUAAUGGGUGAUGGCGUGCCUUUUGUAGAAUGAACCGGCGAGUUACGAUUUGAUGCAAGGUUAAGCAGUAAAUGUGGAGCCGUAGCGAAAGCGAGUCUGAAUAGGGCGUUUAGUAUUUGGUCGUAGACCCGAAACCAGGUGAUCUACCCUUGGUCAGGUUGAAGUUCAGGUAACACUGAAUGGAGGACCGAACCGACUUACGUUGAAAAGUGAGCGGAUGAACUGAGGGUAGCGGAGAAAUUCCAAUCGAACCUGGAGAUAGCUGGUUCUCUCCGAAAUAGCUUUAGGGCUAGCCUCAAGUGAUGAUUAUUGGAGGUAGAGCACUGUUUGGACGAGGGGCCCCUCUCGGGUUACCGAAUUCAGACAAACUCCGAAUGCCAAUUA
rnacentral:rRNA from 1 species